rnacentral:rRNA from 1 species
UUGAAGAGUUUGAUCAUGGCUCAGAUUGAACGCUGGCGGCAGGCCUAACACAUGCAAGUCGAACGGUAACAGGAAGCAGCUUGCUGCUUCGCUGACGAGUGGCGGACGGGUGAGUAAUGUCUGGGAAACUGCCUGAUGGAGGGGGAUAACUACUGGAAACGGUAGCUAAUACCGCAUAACGUCGCAAGACCAAAGAGGGGGACCUUCGGGCCUCUUGCCAUCGGAUGUGCCCAGAUGGGAUUAGCUUGUUGGUGGGGUAACGGCUCACCAAGGCGACGAUCCCUAGCUGGUCUGAGAGGAUGACCAGCCACACUGGAACUGAGACACGGUCCAGACUCCUACGGGAGGCAGCAGUGGGGAAUAUUGCACAAUGGGCGCAAGCCUGAUGCAGCCAUGCCGCGUGUAUGAAGAAGGCCUUCGGGUUGUAAAGUACUUUCAGCGGGGAGGAAGGGAGUAAAGUUAAUACCUUUACUCAUUGACGUUACCCGCAGAAGAAGCACCGGCUAACUCCGUGCCAGCAGCCGCGGUAAUACGGAGGGUGCAAGCGUUAAUCGGAAUUACUGGGCGUAAAGCGCACGCAGGCGGUUUGUUAAGUCAGAUGUGAAAUCCCCGGGCUCAACCUGGGAACUGCAUCUGAUACUGGCAAGCUUGAGUCUCGUAGAGGGGGGUAGAAUUCUAGGUGUAGCGGUGAAAUGCGUAGAGAUCUGGAGGAAUACCGGUGGCGAAGGCGGCCCCCUGGACGAAGACUGACGCUCAGGUGCGAAAGCGUGGGGAGCAAACAGGAUUAGAUACCCUGGUAGUCCACGCCGUAAACGAUGUCGACUUGGAGGUUGUGCCCUUGAGGCGUGGCUUCCGGAGCUAACGCGUUAAGUCGACCGCCUGGGGAGUACGGCCGCAAGGUUAAAACUCAAAUGAAUUGACGGGGGCCCGCACAAGCGGUGGAGCAUGUGGUUUAAUUCGAUGCAACGCGAAGAACCUUACCUGGUCUUGACAUCCACGGAAGUUUUCAGAGAUGAGAAUGUGCCUUCGGGAACCGUGAGACAGGUGCUGCAUGGCUGUCGUCAGCUCGUGUUGUGAAAUGUUGGGUUAAGUCCCGCAACGAGCGCAACCCUUAUCCUUUGUUGCCAGCGGUCCGGCCGGGAACUCAAAGGAGACUGCCAGUGAUAAACUGGAGGAAGGUGGGGAUGACGUCAAGUCAUCAUGGCCCUUACGACCAGGGCUACACACGUGCUACAAUGGCGCAUACAAAGAGAAGCGACCUCGCGAGAGCAAGCGGACCUCAUAAAGUGCGUCGUAGUCCGGAUUGGAGUCUGCAACUCGACUCCAUGAAGUCGGAAUCGCUAGUAAUCGUGGAUCAGAAUGCCACGGUGAAUACGUUCCCGGGCCUUGUACACACCGCCCGUCACACCAUGGGAGUGGGUUGCAAAAGAAGUAGGUAGCUUAACCUUCGGGAGGGCGCUUACCACUUUGUGAUUCAUGACUGGGGUGAAGUCGUAACAAGGUAACCGUAGGGGAACCUGCGGUUGGAUCACCUCCUU